UACGUAGGGUGCGAGCGUUGUCCGGAAUUAUUGGGCGUAAAGAGCUCGUAGGCGGUUUGUCGCGUCUGCUGCGAAAACCCGAGGCUCAACCUCGGGCCUGCAGUGGGUACGGGCAGACUAGAGUGCGGUAGGGGAGAAUGGAACUCCUGGUGUAGCGGUGGAAUGCGCAGAUAUCAGGAAGAACACCGAUGGCGAAGGCAGUUCUCUGGGCCGUAACUGACGCUGAGGAGCGAAAGCGUGGGGAGCGAACAGG
rnacentral:rRNA from 1 species